ACCGGAAUCACCAGGGAAUCUCAUUAAAAUGUAGAUUCUCAUUCAGUAGGUUUGAGGUGAGGCUUGAAAUUCUGCAAUUCUACCAAGCUCCCAGUUAAUGCUGAG
rnacentral:miRNA from 1 species